rnacentral:tRNA from 1 species
GGGAAUGUGGCUUAGUGGUAGAGUGGUUGCCUAACACGCAUGAAGCCCAGGGUUCGAUUCCUCAGUACCA